UACAGAGGGUGCAAGCGUUAAUCGGAAUUACUGGGCGUAAAGCGUGCGUAGACGGUUAUGUAAGUCGGGUGUGAAAGCCCCGGGCUCAACCUGGGAAUUGCAUUCGAGACUGCAUAGCUAGGGUGCGGAAGAGGGAAGCGGAAUUUCCGGUGUAGCGGUGAAAUGCGUAGAUAUCGGAAGGAACACCAGUGGCGAAAGCGGCUUCCUGGUCCAGCACCGACGUCAGGCACGAAAGCGUGGGGGAGCAAACAGG
rnacentral:rRNA from 1 species